rnacentral:rRNA from 1 species
UACGGGGGGAGCAAGCGUUGUUCGGAGUUACUGGGCGUAAAGGGUGUGUAGGCGGUUCUCUAAGUUUGGUGUGAAAUCUCCCGGCUCAACCGGGAGGGUGCGCCGAAAACUGGAGGGCUAGAGUGCGGGAAGGGAGAGUAGAAUUCCUGGUGUAGCGGUGAAAUGCGUAGAUAUCAGGAGGAACACCGGUGGUGUAGACGGCUCUCUGGACCGCGACUGACGCUGAGACACGAAAGCGUGGGUAGCAAACAGG